CCGAGGGAAUCCCGCCUGGAGCGGGAAACGCGCCGCCCUCGCGUUUUCCGGUCCCCUCGUGCCGGGACGUUUCUGGUAUUUCCACCCAGUCCCCGUUCGCCGGUGACCUCACCACAGCACGGACGCAGGCACAGCCGCGGCCCCGUCCCGGGCUCCGUGGCAGCGCCGCCGCUGCUCGGGCUGGGUUAGCGGCCGCCCCAGCGAGCAGCCCGGUUUUACGGCUUACAGGAAGCACUGUCAUGUAGACCUCAGCUCAUUUAUCAAAUCCUUUGAUUCGGGAAGUAGAUUUCAGCGUAGGGGUGAAGGCUGUGGGCUGUGCAAUCACACAAGCCUGGGUCCUUUGGGAGCUCAGCAGAUGCAAGUCAGGCUGAAGAGGAGAAGAGCCAGCUGAGAGUGUGGUCAGGGCAGAAACUUGGAACGAGGUUCUGAACCCCUGGAGCCGCUGCAAUGGCUUUUCAGCAACAGCCUGUGAGCAGGCAUUAAUUUGGGCGUAGCUUGGACGCUUUUUUGAAGUAAGCAAUGCUUACCUGCAAGAAGGAGACCCAGGGCCAGCUAGAGACCCUCCUGGCAGCAUGUUCCCUGCCGGUGGCUGAGCUAAGAAAAGCCUGGGGUAAGGGCCUGGGGACUGCAGCCAUCAGCCAGCACAUCUCCAGUGGCAGCCCCCAGGAAGCAAGACAGUGGCUUUGGUCAAGCCCCAGAUGUCAAUGAACAAGCUGAAACUCACUGAAUCUCCUUGUUUACAGAAGUGAUGAAGCAGGUCAAAAUCCUCAUUUAAUCUCACUGUGGGGGAUAGGCCACUGAUGAAAGAGCACACUGGCAAAAAGGCGGAUUUUGAAGAGACGGACCUGAAACAACCUGCUGUGCAAGUGCCAUUUAAUUACCUUGGCUCUCUGAUCUUAAUUCCUCUUGAUACAACCUGCUGCAGACUGAACAUGUCAGAAUAAACAUAAGGCUGUUUCUGUUC